rnacentral:lncRNA from 1 species
UCUGCAGUAGCAGCAGUGGGUGCACCUCCCUCACAUCCUUUUCUGCCACGCUGGAGCACCUUGAGGUCAGCUCUUGCUCGAAUCUUGCUUUCUUGACACGCAAUGGAAAUCUCCCUCAGGCUCUUAAGUACCUUGGUGUCGAAUCCUGUUCAAAGCUGGAGUCGUUAGCAGAAAGGUUGGACAAUACAUCCCUUGAAGAAAUCACUAUUUUAAACCUUGAAAAUCUUAAAUCAUUACCUGCCGGUUUGCAUAAUCUCCACCAUCUUCAAAAGAUUUGGAUAGGAUAUUGUCCAAAUCUUGAGUCAUUUCCCGAAGAAGGAUUGCCUUCUACGAAACUGACUGAGCUCACGAUAUGGGAUUGUGAGAAUCUGAAGGCCUUACC